GGGGACAACCCGCCGAAAGGCGGGCUAAACCCGCGUACAUGCCACCGGGGCAUCCCGGAGGCAGGAAAGGCUUCGGCCGGACAGGGAUGGGCAUGCGGCGCAUUAGGCAGUAGGCGGGGUAACGGCCCGCCUAACCGACGAUGCGUAGGGGUUCUGAGAGGAAGGUCCCCCACACUGGUACUGAGACACGGACCAGACUCCUACGGGAGGCAGCAGUGAGGAAUAUUGGUCAAUGGUCGGGAGACUGAACCAGCCAAGCCGCGUGAGGGAGGAAGGUACAGAGUAUCGUAAACCUCUUUUGUCAGGGAACAAAGACUGGGACGCGUCCCCGGAUGAGUGUACCUGAAGAAAAAGCAUCGGCUAACUCCGUGCCAGCAGCCGCGGUAAUACGGAGGAUGCGAGCGUUAUCCGGAUUUAUUGGGUUUAAAGGGUGCGCAGGCGGUCUGUUAAGUCAGCGGUCAAAGCCCGGGGCUCAACCCCGGCCCGCCGUUGAAACUGGCAGUCUCGAGUUGGAGAGAAGUAUGCGGAAUGCGCGGUGUAGCGGUGAAAUGCAUAGAUAUCGCGCAGAACUCCGAUUGCGAAGGCAGCAUGCCGGCUCCACACUGACGCUGAGGCACGAAAGCGUGGGUAUCGAACAGGAUUAGAUACCCUGGUAGUCCACGCAGUAAACGAUGAA
rnacentral:rRNA from 1 species